rnacentral:misc_RNA from 1 species
UGUACGGAGAGUCUACAAAAGCUGGUUUUUGGACUUAAAGCAAGCCUCCACGAUAACUCGAUUCCACUUUUCGUGACAGUCGAUACUCGCCUUACCCCGGUCCAACUUUCGACAUCUCGGUCCAAAAUUUGACGGUUAAUCGGAAUAUCUCAAGUGAUAAAUCGCGUAGAAUAAUUAAAUUUCGUUCCCAAAAUUCUGACCGAGUAAGAUCACUCUGUAGCCAGACGAGAUGUCCAACCGAAAAAGUUCCAAAGGAAGUGGGUCCAGUCGAAAAAGUUCCGCGUCUCCGUCUCGAGCUCCAUCUCGAUCUCCGACGCAGCCCUCGAAGACGCCAGCGGGUCAAAAUCGAGGCAGCACAAAUGUAGUGAUCGUACAGCCCCGUCAAGGUCCUGGGAUGUUUGGAACAGUCGUGGGAAGCGCAGUGGGUGCUGCUGCGGGGACUGUUAUUGGAGACAAAAUAACUGGCAGAUCGGAGGAUACAGCACCUGCCCAGGAUUCAAUAACUCCAGAAGGAAUCGGACCCUGUCAACCUCAACAACAACAGUUCCUGAACUGUGCACAGAACCAAUCCGAUGUACAAGUUUGCGAACAGCUCAGAAAGGAGCUUUUAGAUUGCAAACGGAAAUAUAAUGCAUGAUGAUUGCGACAACACCCAGCCUAUCGUAGAAGCCUUCGCCUAGAAGUAGUAUCAUAGAACAUUUCGCAAAAGCCUAUUCAGUACGAGAGCUCGUCCCAAAGCUCAGCAGCCACCGACCAAGACUGCAGCACAGUCACUGCAUCCAGCCUCUGGAACACAAAAGGA